GAAAAUUCAGACAAGGAGAACUGAAUAUUAGGGAAAGAAGAAGAGCCACUGGAAGAGAUUGCAACAGCAGUAGCCUUUUGCCCUCACAGAGCAUUCAUCCUGCAAUAGCUCCGCAGCCAGAGAGUGACAGAGACCCAAAGGUGCAUUCCUGUCCCACACUGUGUCACAGCAGACAGGUAAUUGGUCACUUGCAAACCACCACCACCACCCCGCAAAAAAACCCCUAUUUGAUUCUUUCCACUUCUAAUUUUGUUGCAUUAAAAACUUUUCUUAAAUGCCACAUUUAUCUGAAAUGCUCCUCAUGCUUCUUCCUUUCCUUCCCCUUUCCUAGUUAAAUAAAUUCCUUCUUGUUUUCCCACUUUAUCAAGUUGCAUACUGACCUUCCUUUCAGGAAACAUGGAGGCUGAUUGGCUGGAGGCACCACACACUAUUUGGGAGACAAUAUUACCCCCUGUCUCCUAAGAUCUCUCAAGUUCCUAUAAGUGUUCAGCUUCCUGACACUCAAUUGCCC